CAGCCGCCACGGGAAUACGGAGGGGGCUAGCGUUGUUCGGAAUUACUGGGCGUAAAGCGCACGUAGGCGGCUUGGUAAGUUAGAGGUGAAAGCCCGGAGCUCAACUCCGGAAUUGCCUUUAAGACUGCCGAGCUAUUAGGUGAGAGAGGUAAGUGGAAUUCCGAGUGUAGAGGUGAAAGUCGUAGAUAUUCGGAAGAACACCAGUGGCGAAGGCGGCUUACUGGCUCAUUCUAGACGCUGAGGUGCGAAAGCGUGGGGAGCAAACAGGAUUAGAUACCCGGGUAGUCCCUGUCUCUUAUAC
rnacentral:rRNA from 1 species